rnacentral:tRNA from 1 species
GCCAACGUACCUUAUCUAAAGCAUAACACUGAAGAUGUUAAGAUGGGACCUAGAAAGCCCCGUAAGCA